GUUUUAGAACUCAAUUCGGCACUUUGUUCGGAUCGCAAUUUCAUUCGAAUGAAUGAAACUCCGAUCCUAUUUGUGCUGUGGCUGCAUCUUGCAGCCGCUUAGUAGAUAACUCCCUAAUUCCCACGGUAUUAGGGAGCUAUCUACCAAAAGGCUGAAAGACCUAAAUUGGUCUUUCAGCCACGUUUACUAAUACUAAGUAAAGAUUACUUAGUAUUAGUAAAUGCUGCCCCUACUCGCUAUACCGCGAGUAGGGGCAUGUCUAGUAAACAGUGAGCAGCCUGUGGCUGCUCACUGUAAAAAAUAAAUAAAAACCUAUUGGCCCCC